GAGAAGAGUCGUGAGACAUAGAAAUUGCUAACUAUCUACUGCUAUGGUUUAAAUCCAUAGUCUACUCA
rnacentral:tRNA from 1 species